rnacentral:sRNA from 1 species
GCAGCUAGUACACCACUGAAUCCUUUAAGCUUUCAGUGUGAAUUUGUAAAACUCAGGAUUGACCUUUUACAAGCCUUCUCUCAACUUAUCUGUACUUGUAAUAGCCUGAAGACAAGCCCACCACCUGCAAUUGCCACAACAAUUGCCAUGACCUUAGGAAAUGACCUCCAGAGGUGUGGUCGCAUCUCCAAUCAGAUGAAACAGUCCAUGGAAGAAUUUCGAAGCCUUGCUUCUCGAUAUGGAGAUCUUUACCAGGCAUCUUUUGAUGCUGACUCAGCAACUUUGAGGAAUGUUGAACUACAGCAGCAGAGCUGUUUACUGAUAUCUCAUGCAAUAGAAGCCCUGAUUUUGGAUCCAGAAUCAGCAAGGUAAUUCUAAUAUUAAUAAUAGUUGACGUUACAGAACACUUUCUAUACAUUGUCUUACCUAAUUAUCAGAAGACUAUUUUGGAGCUAGUAUUAUGGAAGUAAAAACAAAGUGGAAGAAUUCUUCAGCAUUUUUUGUGGGUCACAUAACUAGUGACAAAACAUAGAUUUACCUCCUGCCUCCUGUUUUCAAAAAGUUAACAUGGAAAGAUAACUGGGAAGACAUUCUUUGAAUAUGAGCAAUUUCUUCUUGUAUGUUAUAAUUAUACUAUGAAAGAUUGAGUUAAUGAUACAAUUAAACUUGAACUU